AACACUUUCAUUACCGCUACGAUUUUCACGAUGUUUUCUCGGGAGCCGCCUACAUUUUACGUUGGACUCGCUAGGUGAGUCGCCGGCGCUGCGAUACGAAUCAUUCGACUCGCCACGCGAGUUCAGUGGCAUUGCGUUAGGGUAAAAACUAUGUUCUGUUAUUUUUGUGGCCGUGACAGUGUACGUUACGUGUUUAAAGCAAUUAACUAGUAUAUGGUGUAAUUUAACAAAAAGAAAAUGGCAAGAAACACUAUAAAUAAACGAAAAGGCCACCACAAAACACAAUAACAUAGAACACAAGAAUCUCAAAGUCCAGAAAACGUUUGCCAGGGGUUAAAACAGUAGCUAGGUACUCCAACAGGUCCAGUAAUCGAAAGCCAAGUCACAAUGAUAGAAAACAAAUAUACGCGUGCGAUAAGGAAAGGGUCGUGCUUAACACUAAUCUAUAUAUAAAGAAAGUCGGGUUUGUUACAACACUUCACUCGAGAUUGACCAAUGAGAGCUUGGCAAAAACAAUGUUAUCAGUGCUUUUAUUGCUUACUAACCAGAGCGUUCAUGUUAAAAAAUACCGGUUCCUUUUGUUUUGCCGGCAAUUUUUAACAAUGCGAAGGGAUCCUCUUUCAGUUGUAACUCUUAAAGUAAUAGACCGAGAGUUGAGUUUGUGUUUUCUGCACCGUUCGUUUAACAAAAACGCAAGGACAGACUCAAAAACUUAGAAGUACCCAUUUGGUGAACACCAAAUUCGAGCCCCUACAAGGUGUCGAACACAAUCCGCCGUUGUUUUACGAGUGAAUGUGACUUUUGGUAAAAUGAAAAUAAAAGUAUCUACCUUUUA